rnacentral:rRNA from 1 species
GAUGAACGCUGGCGGCGUGCCUAAUACAUGCAAGUCGAGCGAACGGACGAGAAGCUUGCUUUUCUGAUGUUAGCGGCGGACGGGUGAGUAACACGUGGAUAACCUACCUAUAAGACUGGGAUAACUUCGGGAAACCGGAGCUAAUACCGGAUAAUAUUUUGAACCGCAUGGUUCAAAAGUGAAAGACGGUCUUGCUGUCACUUAUAGAUGGAUCCGCGCUGCAUUAGCUAGUUGGUAAGGUAACGGCUCACCAAGGCAACGAUGCAUAGCGGACCUGAGAGGGUGAUCGGCCACACUGGAACUGAGACAGGGUCCAGACCCCUACGGGAGGCAGCAGUAGGGAAUCUUCCGCAAUGGGCGAAAGCCUGACGGAGCAACGCCGCGGGAGUGAUGAAGGUCUUCGGAUCGUAAAACUCUGUUAUUAGGGAAGAACAUAUGUGUAAGUAACUGUGCACAUCUUGACGGUACCUAAUCAGAAAGCCACGGCUAACUCCGU